AGUAUUCAGCAGGCCGAAAUGGGAGCAGCAAUGGACGCACUUGAGAAAUGUAAGCCAUCUCUUUUCCUAUAGCCACACCUGUAUAAUGUAAUGCAUAUUUUAUGGAAGGAAAAUGAAGUAGAGGAGAGGUUAAGUUUUGAUAAAAUGUGGCCGAUUGUUGUUAAUAAUUUUCCUCCAUACAGUAGAGUACAGUAGAGUAUGUGCUGUGUAUACAGCAGAUUGCACUUUUCGUUGGAGUCCUCAGCGUGGUUUACAUUUUCCUUUAUACGCGGAGCUCUACUCAGCAGAGGCACCUCUAAGUGGCCUUCUGCUUCUGACGGCGUUUCCCACACUUUUGAUGGCGAGUAAGCCAGCCAUGGUGACACAUGCACUUGGGAGGUAGAUUCAUGGGAUCAGGGGUUAAGGUCACCUCAAGCUACAUUGUGAGGUCAAGGUGAGCCCGGGCCACAUGAGAGCUCAUCUCAAAACAAAACAAACAAAAUAAAAUUAAAAAUCUGUGAAAGCUAGGUGGCACACACCUUUAAUCCCAGCACUCAGGAGGUAGAAACAACAGAUCUUUGAAUUCAAGGCCAGCCUGGUCUAUACAGAGAAACUCUAUUUGGAAAAAAAAUCUUAUGUAGGCAUAAAUGCAUACAAGGGAAGUUUUUUUGUUUGUUUAUCUGUUUAGUUUUUAACCAUUGUCUUAUUUAAAUUGGAUGGCAACUACAUACUUCUGCAUACAUUUUCAUGCUAAUGUAUGUAUAUAAUAUACCUCACUUUUGCCCAGCAGCCCUGCAAGUCAUAGAGCAUAGAGAAUUCUUUUUAUUGUGGUUACUUCGCAUGUAUGCAUAUGUAUGUGUGUUCAGUGUCUACAAUAAACGUCUAGAUUGUGGUGCAUU
rnacentral:lncRNA from 1 species